rnacentral:rRNA from 1 species
UACGGGGGGGGCAAGCGUUGUUCGGAAUUACUGGGCGUAAAGGGCGCGUAGGCGGUUCGCUAAGUUGAAUGUGAAAACUCUGGGCUUAACCCAGAGCCUGCAUUCAAUACUGGCGGGCUAGAGUUCUGGAGGGGAUAGCGGAAUUCCUGGUGUAGCGGUGAAAUGCGUAGAUAUCAGGAGGAGCACCGGUGGCGAAGGCGGUUCUCUGGGCAUGUCCUGACGCUGAGGAGCGAAAGUGUGGGGAGCGAACAGG